AAGAAUUUAAGUUAAAGAAACUGCUAGCCUUCAAAGCCAGAUAUAGAAAUAUUUCUAAUUCUUA
rnacentral:tRNA from 1 species